AACCUUUGCUGUCUUGGAACAGAUCACCACUGCAAGAGGGGAAGUUGCUACUGUGAUGAAUUCUGCCAUGUGGUACCAGACUGCUACCCAGACCACAGUGUCCUCUGCAACCCUCGUCAAAGGUGCCUACAUGUUCCUUCUAGCUUUGUUUCCCUGAUGUUCCUUGCCACCUGCUACUCCUCUCUGAGCUACUUUUCCAGCUUCUCAGAUGACCAAGAUGGUGCUGCAGAUGGUGCUGAGGAUGGAGAACCCACCAAGCCCCGCUAGGAGCCACCUAGACUGGAUGUAGAGCAUGGCUAAAACCUUUGAAGAGGAAUUUAUUAUAUCCUACAAACCUGGGAGGCAGAGGUUGCAGUGAGCCAAGAUUGGGCCAUCGCACUCCAGCCUGGGCAAUAAGAAUGAAACUCUGUCUCAAAAAAACAAAAGUUGGCUAGGGCUGGGCGUGGUGGCUCACACCUGUAAUCCCAGCACUUUGGGAGGCUAAAGCAGGUGGAUCACCUGAGGUCAGAAGUACGAGACCAUCCUGGCUAAUAUGGUGAAACCCCAUCUCUACUAAAAAUAUGAAAAAAGAAAAAAAAAU
rnacentral:lncRNA from 1 species